rnacentral:rRNA from 1 species
GGGGAGGUGCGGCGUGCCUAAUACAUGCAGUCGAACGCUUCUUUUUCCCCGGAGCUUGCUCCACCGGAAAAAGAAGAGUGGCGAACGGGUGAGUAACACGUGGGUAACCUGCCCAUCAGAAGGGGAUAACACUUGGAAACAGGUGCUAAUACCGUAUAACAAUCAAAACCGCAUGGUUUUGAUUUGAAAGGCGCUUUCGGGUGUCGCUGAUGGAUGGACCCGCGGUGCAUUAGCUAGUUGGUGAGGUAACGGCUCACCAAGGCCACGAUGCAUAGCCGACCUGAGAGGGUGAUCGGCCACAUUGGGACUGAGACACGGCCCAAACUCCUACGGGAGGCAGCAGUAGGGAAUCUUCGGCAAUGGACGAAAGUCUGACCGAGCAACGCCGCGUGAGUGAAGAAGGUUUUCGGAUCGUAAAACUCUGUUGUUAGAGAAGAACAAGGAUGAGAGUAACUGUUCAUCCCUUGACGGUAUCUAACCAGAAAGCCACGGCUAACUACGUGCCAGCAGCCGCGGUAAUACGUAGGUGGCAAGCGUUGUCCGGAUUUAUUGGGCGUAAAGCGAGCGCAGGCGGUUUCUUAAGUCUGAUGUGAAAGCCCCCGGCUCAACCGGGGAGGGUCAUUGGAAACUGGGAGACUUGAGUGCAGAAGAGGAGAGUGGAAUUCCAUGUGUAGCGGUGAAAUGCGUAGAUAUAUGGAGGAACACCAGUGGCGAAGGCGGCUCUCUGGUCUGUAACUGACGCUGAGGCUCGAAAGCGUGGGGAGCAAACAGGAUUAGAUACCCUGGUAGUCCACGCCGUAAACGAUGAGUGCUAAGUGUUGGAGGGUUUCCGCCCUUCAGUGCUGCAGCUAACGCAUUAAGCACUCCGCCUGGGGGAGUACGACCGCAAGGUUGAAACUCAAAGGAAUUGACGGGGGCCCGCACAAGCGGUGGAGCAUGUGGUUUAAUUCGAAGCAACGCGAAGAACCUUACCAGGUCUUGACAUCCUUUGACCACUCUAGAAGAAAGAGCUUCCCCUUCAGGGGGCAAAGUGAAACGGUGGUGCCUUGGUUAGCCCCCAGCUCUUUGUCGUCGGAAAGUUCGGGUUUAAUUCC